GAUGAAGAACGUAGCGAAAUGCGAUAACUAAUGUGAAUUGCAGAAUUCAGUGAAUCAUCGAGUCUUUGAACGCACAUUGCGCCCCCUGGUAUUCCGGGGGGCAUGCCUGUCCGAGCGUCAUUGCUGCCCUCAAGCACGGCUUGUGUGUUGGGCUCCGUCCCCCCGGGGACGGGCCCGAAAGGCAGCGGCGGCACCGAGUCCGGUCCUCGAGCGUAUGGGGCUUUGUCACCCGCUCUGUAGGCCCGGCCGGCGCCAGCCGACAACCCAUCAUCCUUUUCAGGUUGACCUCGGAUCAGGUAGGGAUACCCGCUGAACUUAAGCAUAUCAAUAAGCGGAGAA
rnacentral:misc_RNA from 1 species